rnacentral:rRNA from 1 species
AUACGUAGGGGGCAAGCGUUGUCCGGAAUUAUUGGGCGUAAAGGGCGCGUAGGCGGAUACUUAAGUCUGGUGUGAAAACCCAGGGCUCAACCGUGGGAUUGCAUUGGAAACUGGGUAUCUUGAGUGCAGGAGAGGAAAGUGGAAUUCCACGUGUAGCGGUGAAAUGCGUAGAGAUGUGGAGGAACACCAGUGGCGAAGGCGACUUUCUGGACUGUAACUGACGCUGAGGCGCGAAAGCGUGGGGAGCAAACAGGAUUAGAUACCCUGGUAGUCCACGCCGUAAACGAUGAGUGCUAGGUGUAGGAGGUAUCGACCCCUUCUGUGCCGCAGUAAACACAAUAAGCACUCCGCCUGGGGAGUACGGCCGCAAGGUUGAA